AUUGAACGCUGGCGGCAGGCCUAACACAUGCAAGUCGAGCGGAUGAAGGGAGCUUGCUCCUGGAUUCAGCGGCGGACGGGUGAGUAAUGCCUAGGAAUCUGCCUGGUAGUGGGGGAUAACGUCCGGAAACGGGCGCUAAUACCGCAUACGUCCUGAGGGAGCAAGUGGGGGAUCUUCGGACCUCACGCUAUCAGAUGAGCCUAGGUCGGAUUAGCUAGUUGGUGGGGUAAAGGCCUACCAAGGCGACGAUCCGUAACUGGUCUGAGAGGAUGAUCAGUCACACUGGAACGGAGACACGGUCCAGACUCCUACGGUAGGCAGCAGUGGGGAAUAUUGGACAAUGGGCGAAAGCCUGAUCCAGCCAGGCCGCGUGUGUGAAGAAGGUCUUCGGAUUGUAAAGCCCUUUAAGUUGGGAGGAAGGGCAGUAAGUUAAUACCUUGCUGUUUUGACGGUACCAACAGAAUAAGCACCGGCUAACUUCGUG
rnacentral:rRNA from 1 species